UACCAGACCACAAACGUGGAUGGAGUUUCACUCUUAUGGCCCAGGCUGGAGUGCAAUGGCGUGAUCUCAGCUCACCAUAACCUCUGCCUCCCGGGUUCAAGUGAUUCUCCUACCUCAGCCUCCUGAGUAGCUGCGAUUACAGAUACAUAGCUUUGGCCAAGAAGUGUGGUUUUGAAGAGCCCAAACUGUAUCUGUUACCUGAUUUCAAAGAAUAUUCCACCUAGGAGAGACCCAGCUCCUGCAGACUUCCUCUGGACACUUUUGGCAGUCAUUGUUCCCAGCUGAUUCUGCAACAGAUGAAGGACGGAGGAUAGAAUCAUGAAUAGCAACAUCUUAAUUGCUGAUUGGGUGUUGAUUCUAAGGAUACCCCCAAUAAACAUCUUUCGUGCUAAAGCCCAUUCCAGAAUUUACUUCCCAGCUAUCUUUGAUGUUCAUAUUGUCAGAGGUGGUGGCCACUGAAAUAGGCAAAGACAUGGAGCAUAUCUUGGGUCCAGGACCUUGGGAGUCCAGAGGAAGGUCUUUUUACCAUCAGCAUUCUCUACUGUGUUCAAGGACUGUCAGCCAAAGAUGGCCAGGUUCUCUACUGUGAUGGUGAAUUUUAUGUGUCAAUUUGACUGGACCAUGGGAUGCCCAGCUUUCCUUCAGAAAGAAAUGCAUUCAAAGAACCUACAUUCACAACAUAAAGAAAUAAAGCCUGCACCUACAGAUCUACACACAUGCCCAUGCACAUGCAGGAAGUGUUCAUCAAAGACCGGACCUUUUAGAAGAAAGCUGGCAUACAUUCGUGAAGGCAUGGGCUUCCAGGCAUGUCAUCUUCACUCACGAAGUACACACAAGACCGCCAAGCAUUAAGAUUCUCCUGUGGAGCCAGGCAACAAUCCUUUAAAUGAAGACAGACAGCUAGGUGGCUGCAGCCCAGCGCUACACCUCACCCCUCCCUCAGUGUCAUGCAGAAAAAAUGUAUUCAGAAGUCAGAAGUGAAGUUGUGCAAAUCCAUCAUUGACACUAGCUUCAGGGUUACCUCGGGGGAGCUGAAUGUACCCCUGCCAGAGAGCUGGAUGGAUGAUGAUGGGGACAGAAAUUCUGGGGGAGUUGUAAAUGGCAGCCACUGCCUCUAUAGGAAACCCAAAGGGAACACAGCAGAAGAGGAGGUGGUGGAGGAGCCACUGCCCUCUCGAAGGGUUCGAUGUCAUUCUGCAGACACAACCAAAUAACUUUUUCUUCCCUGCUGCUCCUCCAUUUG
rnacentral:lncRNA from 1 species